GGAUUACAAUUUGGUAAGACGUUCUGGAAGACGGGUGGUGUUUUCGCGGUGGAACAUGAGCUAGGAUGCCAGUAGCUGUUCUUCCUCGUCUGUCGCCACCGUCACCUGCCCCAUCUGCCUCGGGCUUGUUGCUCAGGAAUCCUAUUUGGAUCGUUGUUCCGAGGAAGAUGUUGACAUCAUUGUGCGUCAUGUCCUCGGUGUAAUUGACUCAUUCAGGAAAAGAAAUGAGCAACUCCGAAGUGCUCCUGAAGCAAAUAAGAAGUCUUCGAGUCUCUGGUCAUAGAUGCUGCCAGAAGCAUUUUUUGACUGGAAGAGCAGAGCUGUUUGUAAAUGAAAUAGAACUGUUUCUUGCCUCAGGAUUGAAUAUAGAAGCCUAUGAUGAAGUUUAUAUGCAAUAGCUGGGUUGGAAAACUCCCAAGAUCAAUAGUGAGGAUGCACAAGAAGAAUCCAUGAAGGCAAGCCUUUUGCUUCGUACUUGUAUUUCUUUGAUGACGACUCCAAUUAGACUGAUUAAACAAUUCUUUUGAAUUUAGUAAUGCUUUGUUUUAUUUUCUUCUUUUUAAACCUUUCGGUACUUCGCGUAUCAGUACUUUCUUAUUGGUAUAAACUUGAUUUGGUUCCAAA